rnacentral:lncRNA from 1 species
AAGCCAAGGGAGAAGCUUGAUACAGUAUUCUGUUGCCCCUUCUGCAAUCAUGGGAGCAGCAUUGAAUGCGACAUUGACAUGAAGAACAUGAUUGGGGAGGCUUUCUGCAGCGUUUGCCAAGAGAGUUAUAGCACAACCAUCACAGCUUUGACUGAACCCAUAGACGUCUACAGUGACUGGAUAGACAAAUGUGAACGGGUCAACACCAUUGUUCCUGGUGAUUGUGAUUCGUGCUUAGGAAGCAGAUAGGGGUUUUUAUUAUGGUCUGUCUGUAAAACUCCAUAUCUUUUAACUUCUUGAUGCCAUUAGAAAUUUAUAAUUUUAAGACAUCGCUGAAGGAUGGGCCUAGAGCCUAGAAGAUAACCAUUGUUUUGAUAUAAAAACAAAAUCUGAGAGAAUUAAUUGCUAGUUUUGUGAUUCGAAUAGAAUGGUUUGCUGAAACUGGAUUAAUUGCUAGAAGAAGGAGGAGGAGGAAGAGGACUAG